rnacentral:lncRNA from 1 species
GGAGCCAAUAUCCUUGUUCUUGAAACCCUAGUUCACCAAAUUCUACUCAAAAUCAAAGAAGGAAUCAAGUAGGAAAUCGUUUUCAAGCUAAAUUCGUGAUCAUUACACUUAGUGGAUCACAAGGCAGUUUGGGAGGAUCGUCUAGUAACAAGACGGAGUGGAUAGUUGGUAAAAGGGAAAGCUUUAAAGGUGACCAUAAUUACUAGACGGAUGACGAUCAAGCAAGAAAAUGAACCGAGUACACACUUAAUCAAAGCUUCCGCGACUAAACCAAGACUUUUGGCACGACUACUUUAGAGUUGUGUUAUCAUACUUUUGUACAUAUGGUGACCAUAAUUACUAGACGGAUGACGAUUAAGCAAGAAAAUGAACCGAGUACACACUUAAUCAAAGCUUCCGCGACUAAACCAAGACUUUUGUCAUGAC